GUGCUGGCUUCAGUAGCAUGUAUACUAAAAUUGGGAACCAUUUAGAGAAGAUUAGCAUAGCCCCUGUGAAAAGCUUAUACAUAAACUUGUGAAGUGUUCACCUUUUUU
ensembl:snRNA U6 U6 spliceosomal RNA